UCAGGAGAACAUAUGACGGUGGAAGGCCAGGAACACCAAAAGACAGACAUACCUUCCCAGCUGUACAUCAGCACAGACAUUUUGAAAUGGGCUCUGGAAUCAGCAGCACAGGAAAGGGAUCAGCAAGCUAUCAUGUUCGGGGUUUCCAGCAGUGCUAGGCAGAUGGAUGAUCAGACUUUGGUAUGCACUGAAGCUACAUACUCCACAAGGCUCUACAUGUGAACGUGCCAACAAUGAAGCCCUUUACCAUGCCUACAACCAGCAAUGCAGGCACAAAUCUUGACAACUGCAGAUGUACUCAUUUUUUGGCCUACUGCUUACUGGGGCCCCAAUACAUGUAUGGGAAUCCUAAAGGAGACUAACAUCACAUUUGACUCAUUGCUACCUUGGAAGAGGCAAACCUUGAUUUAGUUGAAGUUUCAAAAUGAUGGUUUGUGAUCCAGCUGCUAAUUCCCACGGAAUUCCCAUGGAUUCACCACGGAAUCACGAUGGUAAUGAAACCAAAACAGCAAAGGAAAAAGAUUAAAAUGAAAAGAGAAGACUUAAAAAUAGGAUAACUAAAAAGACAAUUUGAAAUGGGUCUGUGAGAGCUGGACACCCUCACCAAAUAAUGAAAUAAACGUGCAAUCCACUGCCUCACCCUUUUGCCCUACCCAGGAAAGAGCAAAGCAAUAUGCAGCGCAGUUCUUGAGCCGAGCUGUCCUGAACACCAACAGAAGCUACUAUGGAGAAACAGCAUUAUUGUUAAUUCUUGUUAAUUAUUGUCUUCCUAUCAUCUAAGUACUGAUGAUGAUAAUCAGCUGACUACUCAAUAUGUACCCACAACACGGCUUGCUUGCUCUUUUUGGUUACUCACUACAAUCACAAAGGAGUAGUGUGUCAAGAUGACCCUAAGUGAAGGUACAAGGAGGGUCUAAGAAAUUCCUCAAGAUGAACAGCAAACCUGAUUUGUUUAGGACAGUGACACAGUAACAGAAAAUCGCAUGACAACUGGAGCAUAGCCACAAAUCCCUGAGAUUUCGCACAGCUACCAAAAUCACACUGCAACUAGCAGAAAAAGCCAUACCAAGCAGUGGAGAGAUCAGAAAGCUACUCAAGAACAGGCAGCAAUAGGAGACCAAUAUAUCUCAGAAGUCACAAGCUCACGCUGCCACGAGCAGAACACUCUUUGCAGGGCAUGUCUGCAUUAUAGACAGGAACCAGUCUGUGAAGUAUGAUAUUACUAGAAAGAACUCCUGGAUUUUACUGGGGCAGAUUCAAUUACAAAAAGCUGACCGUAAAACGAGUAGAUGUCCUGACUAAACUGAUACGCGUCGUACCAACGCUUUUCCUGGAAAGCUGGACGACAUUCGUGUAUUCUUAUUUAUUUAUUUAUUUUCAAGAAGUUUGGGGACACUAUCUUUGCGAAAAGGAAUGUUCUGUGCCUCGUCCAAACCAGCAAAGGGCCAAGCAGCAGCGUAUUGUAGAAGGGGUUAUCUGGAGUCAGGCAAUCCAGUUGAGGCAUGUCCACCCAGGUCGGAUGACACAUCAAUCUAAAGGGGACACGAGCAAGGCUAUUAGUUCAUGGCUCUUGGCCUGAAUUUUACUGACAGGUGGCUAGAAAUAAUGUAAGGCCUAUAUUAUUUUUCCAAGUAUAGUGGCGAGUGCCAGGACACAACCGAAGAAAAGAUGCUUAUGCAACUCCUAAAAGGGAUUAUGCAGCUGCUAUAAAAUCUUUGAGGGAACUGGCAGAUAUGGUUAGAACAGCCUUCUCUUGGAGAUGGGUAGCUGGCAGGGUUAGAAUCAUUAGUGAAAGUGGAUAUGAUUGAGAAAUUCUGUGAUAUGUGUGCAGCCUGCAGUGAUUGCUGUCCACAAAAAGCAGCAGUGGUUCACAUACAAGACCUGUAUUUACAUUAAAAUGAGUAAGACUGGGACUUUACACAGUGGUGAGCUAACAAACGAGCUCACCGCUUGCCAUGGGAACGGGCUAAGGUUCCACACAGCCAAGACCAACAUCUCUGCUGGCUCCUCUAACACUGCCCUGCCUUCCUAGGCCCUCCUGAUGCAUCCAUGACUCGUCUCCUCUUCAUCUGGCCACACCAGCAUUCCUGGACCCUCCAACAGAAAGCUUUUAGAUGUGUAACCCAGCAGAAAAGUAUCUUUUCUCUUUGUUGGUGUCGGAUGAGAAUCCUGCUGGAUGGGUACCAUCACUCAGGCCCAGGCCAAAAACCGAGGAGGGCAGCUGAACAUUAUCCACCUACAAGAGGGAUUCCCCAGGGAAACUGCACAUCACUUAUUCUCAAGCCAGCUGCUGCAGGGUUGCUAUAAAAGGAAACCUGCUCUCUGAAGAACUGCAAAGGAGGUAAACACAUUGCUUUCCUGGAAUAGCUUUGGGAUGCCAAAAGAAUGAAUGAAGUCAGUGAGAACUUCCGCCUAUGUGCGUUACACAGGAUUAAGCUUCAGGUAUGUUUCAGGAGGCCACUCCAAGAAUGGGUGACUCACAAGACUUGUACCAAACAGCCAUUGCCAUCAGUCACGGACAGCUUUUUCUCAGCAAAACCUGGGAAGUAGUUUGAACUCCAUCUACAAGUGACAGAAGAAGUGGACAAUAAAGCAUAAAUUGAAACUCAGAAGACUAAAGAUCCUUUCACAUUUUUAUUUUCCACCAAGAGUAACAGGGCAGUAGUACGAGUAAUAAAACAUGUUAAUUGGCAAAACCACAGGAGCUUACUUGACUUCAGGAGGGAGCAGCAUGUUUCUCUUCUGGAACUUAGAGGAACAUUUAGAAACCAACGAAUGCAGAGAAAGAGAUCAGAAAAUCAAGUAACACUCAGAGAAAGUGAGAAAAAUGCCAACUUCCUUCUCCUAGUUACUUUUCCGUACAUUUCUUGCUUACAUUGUCAGCUCAUCGAGUGGACAACUUUUUUUCCAAGAUGAAAAUUUUGAUUGAAAACAGAUUACCUGCAACACUCACUAUACUUUUAACUGCAAAGAAUUAGAAGCAGGAGAAAAAAACACACCUUAAUUUCAUAGGUUUGCUUCUGGUGUAUGAAACAGCCCAGAUGCCAACUGCUAAAAAUGCACUGUCCUGUUUGCCUAAGGUUAAGAGCAGAGCCCCCUGAGAACCAAAACUCGUGUUGAGGUUUGGAAGGCUGGUACUGGGAGAAUAUGGCAAUUCCUUCAUAGCUCCUCACCUUUGUGUACAGCCUCCACAAACUCUUUUUUGAAGUUUGCCCGUACUUUUUUGAAGUACACUCCCUCUUCUUUCCUCUAGUUUUUCUUUUCCUGCGUCUCUGUGUUUUGUUUCUGGCUGGAACUGGCAGUGGAAUUGCUGAACAACAGAAGCUGAUCCAACUGUAUUGCUGACUCAAUCCUGAGAGCCUGUUCUCAUCAGAUUUCACUGCAGCAUUCCAGAUUUCAGUACCCAAAAAAUUCAGAUAGUUAUCUAAACCAAACUUCCUGAGGGUGAACUAUCCCCAGUGCUAAGACAGCAAGAGCAGGGCCGACACACACUUGAACGAGAUUCCAUCAGAGCACAGGAGACAGCAUGCCAACUACGCUUAAAGCAAUAUCUACCUACAUAAUUUCAACUCAGUCUGACUUGGUAAAUUACUGAGUUAAUUGCCUUGGUAUUCAUAUUUACAUUCAAAAAAGGAUACACAGAUCUGAGGUCAAAUCAUUAAGC